rnacentral:rRNA from 1 species
AGUGAACGCUGGCGGUAGGCCUAACACAUGCAAGUCGAACGGCAGCACAGUAAGAGCUUGCUCUUACGGGUGGCGAGUGGCGGACGGGUGAGGAAUACAUCGGAAUCUACUUUUUCGUGGGGGAUAACGCAGGGAAACUUACGCUAAUACCGCAUACGACCUACGGGUGAAAGCAGGGGAUCUUCGGACCUUGCGCGAUUGAAUGAGCCGAUGUCGGAUUAGCUAGUUGGCGGGGUAAAGGCCCACCAAGGCGACGAUCCGUAGCUGGUCUGAGAGGAUGAUCAGCCACACUGGAACUGAGACACGGUCCAGACUCCUACGGGAGGCAGCAGUGGGGAAUAUUGAACAAUGGGCGCAAGCCUGAUCCAGCCAUACCGCGUGGGUGAAGAAGGCCUUCGGGUUGUAAAGCCCUUUUGUUGGGAAAGAAAAGCAGCAGGUUAAUACCCCGCUGUUCUGACGGUACCCAAAGAAUAAGCACCGGCUAACUUCGUG